rnacentral:rRNA from 1 species
UAAGGAAUAUUGGUCAAUGGACGCAAGUCUGGACCAGCCAUGCCGCGUGGAGGAUGAAGGUCCUCUGGAUUGUAAACUUCUUUUAUCUGGGACGAAACCCAAGAAUUCUUUUUUGGUUGACGGUACCAGAUGAAUAAGCACCGGCUAACUCCGUGCAAGCAGCCGAGGUAAUACGUAGGGAGCAAGCGUUGUCCGGAUUUAUUGGGCGUAAAGAGCUCGUAGGCGGUUAAGUAAGUCAGGUGUGAAACCUCCAGGCUCAACCUGGAGACGCCACUUGAUACUGCUUUGACUGGAGUUCGGUAGGGGUAAGCGGAAUUCCUGGUGUAGCGGUGAAAUGCGCAGAUAUCAGGAGGAACACCGACGGCGAAGGCAGCUUACUGGGCCGAUACUGACGCUGAGGAGCGAAAGCGUGGGGAGCGAAC